UCCAGGGUAGCCUAGUGGACAUGGCACCGGCCCGGUAAGCAGAAGGUUGUGGGUUCGAUUCCCGCCCCUGGAC
rnacentral:tRNA from 1 species